rnacentral:rRNA from 1 species
GGAUGCGAUCAUACCAGCACUAAAGCACCAGAUCCCAUCAGAACUCCGAAGUUAAGCGUGCUUGGGCGAGAGUAGUACUAGGAUGGGUGACCUCCUGGGAAGUCCUCGUGUUGGGUGAC